GGCAGCGUGGCUCCGUGGCAAGAGCCCGGGCUUGGGAGUCAGAGGUCACGGGUUCGAAUCCCGGCUCUGCCC
rnacentral:tRNA from 1 species